rnacentral:ribozyme from 1 species
UGCACAGCAACUCCUAUCCCUACCUCCUCGUGGUACUGGCCGGGGUUCAAGUAAUUAAAGAAGAUCGGGUAACCAACCCCGGUGGGAGCUUUGGUUAUAUGAUGACAGGGAAGA